rnacentral:tmRNA from 1 species
GGGGCCGACCUGGUUUCGACGUGGGUAGCGAAGCGGCACAGGGCAUGCCGAGGCGCCAAGUCCUCGUAAAUCCUUUGGCAAAUCUACAAACGCCAACGACGAGCGUUUCGCUCUCGCGGCUUAAACCCCGCGAGCGCCGCAACAGUCAGCCGACGGGCUGGGCCUGACCGGGCAACCGGAAGGGCUGCGGUGUAACUUCAGUCGGAUAGCGCCCGGGCCGGGUCACUUGGUCCAGGCGCAAAACUCAAGGUGACUGGGUGUGCGGCGGCCUGUCGUUCGGCUAAUCGCCCACCGAGAUCAAAAUAGAGCGACUACGCAUGUAGAACUGGUCGUAGAGGACUUGCGGACGCGGGUUCGAUUCCCGCCGGCUCCACCA